CGGCCAAUCGGAAUCCGGGAAAGGGGCGGGACUUCCCCUUUAAACUGAGUGCUACUUUUCCUCUCCAGCUGGAGAAGCUGAAAGAUUCGGCUGGGACGGCUGAGGAGGUUAAUCCUCCCCACCUGGGUGCCAGAGGUUAGCGUCUACACAGACACCGGGGUCCGGCUUAGCCUGCAUUCCAAAGAGCUGAGUUCCUAAAAACAAAACAGAGGAAAAGAAAACCAGUAAUCUCAAAUAUAGUAUCUGACCACUUCAAGGGAGAAGUUUUCCUCUCUAGAAGCAGGGCCCCCAUUUAUCUUCCUUGUCCUACCUUCAGUACCUGAUUCCAGUUUCAGCAUGUCUGUUUCUUCUACCACCUACUGAGUUCAUGACAUCUGCUAUAGGAAGCUGUUAAUGACAUU